rnacentral:rRNA from 1 species
GAUUCGCGGCCUAUCAGCUUGUUGGUGAGGUAAUGGCUCACCAAGGCGACGACGGGUAGCCGGCCUGAGAGGGUGACCGGCCACACUGGGACUGAGACACGGCCCAGACUCCUACGGGAGGCAGCAGUGGGGAAUAUUGCGCAAUGGGCGAAAGCCUGACGCAGCAACGCCGCGUGAGGGAUGAAGGCCUUCGGGUUGUAAACCUCUUUUAGCAGGGAAGAAGCGAAAGUGACGGUACCUGCAGAAAAAGCACCGGCUAACUACGUGCCAGCAGCCGCGGUAAUACGUAGGGUGCAAGCGUUAUCCGGAAUUAUUGGGCGUAAAGAGCUCGUAGGCGGUUUGUCGCGUCUGCUGUGAAAAUCUGAGGCUCAACCUCGGACUUGCAGUGGGUACGGGCAGACUAGAGUGCGGUAGGGGAGAAGGGAAUUCCUGGUGUAGCGGUGGAAUGCGCAGAUAUCAGGAGGAACACCAAUGGCGAAGGCACUUCUCUGGGCCGCUACUGACGCUGAGGAGCGAAAGCGUGGGGAGCGAACAGGAUUAGAUACCCUGGUAGUCCACGCCGUAAACGGUGGGCACUAGUUGUGGGGACCUUCCACGGUCUCUGCGACGCAGCUAACGCAUUAAGUGCCCCGCCUGGGGAGUACG